rnacentral:rRNA from 1 species
AAUAGAUACCCCGGUAGUCCACGCCGUAACGUGGUACUAGGUGUGGGUUUCCUUCCACAGGAUCCGUGCCGUAGCUAACGCAUUAAGUACCCCGCCUGGGGAGUACGGCCGCAAGGCUAAAACUCAAAGGAAUUGGCGGGGGCCCGCACAAGCGGCGGAGCAUGUGGAUUAAUUCGAUGCAACGCGAAGAACCUUACCUGGGUUUGACAUACACCGGAAACCUGCAGAGAUGUAGGCCCCCUUGUGGUCGGUGUACAGGUGGUGCAUGGCUGUCGUCAGCUCGUGUCGUGAGAUGUUGGGUUAAGUCCCGCAACGAGCGCAACCCUUAUCUUAUGUUGCCAGCGCGUAAUGGCGGGGACUCGUGAGAGACUGCCGGGGUCAACUCGGAGGAAGGUGGGGACGACGUCAAGUCAUCAUGCCCCUUAUGUCCAGGGCUUCACACAUGCUACAAUGGCCGGUACAGAGGGCUGCGAUACCGUGAGGUGGAGCGAAUCCCUUAAAGCCGGUCUCAGUUCGGAUCGGGGUCUGCAACGUCGACCCGUG